CUUACUUAAGAUUAAUAAAAUUGGAUCUGAGCCUUUAAAGGUAAUUAAAACAAUGCAACAAUACCAGGAUCACUUAGAGUUGAUGCUCCAUUUCUUCAUCUUAAAAGUCAGAGAGCCACCAACCAGCGAGGAAGCCCAAGCAGCUGCAUAGAGAGGCUACAUGGAGAAGAACCAAGGCCCUUCGCCAACAGCUCCAACUGAACUCCCAUCUGGCAGCCAGAAACAACUCCCAGACAUACGAGUGAGGCCUUUUGACCUUCAAGCGUUCCUAGUACCCCAGCUAACAUUGCACAAAGCAGAAUUGCCCAUUCAACCAGAAUGAGGAAAGAAUAUAAAAAAAACAGGAAGGCUAAAUUUUUUUCCAAGCGAAUUUGCAACUGCCCCAUCUUCAGAGGAAUUAGGCUCCAACAGGUCUGAGACCAUGUCUUCUGAAAAUCGUGGAUGCCCAAUAAAUAUGAUUUGAAACUGUCUUGCUGGAAGGAUGAAGGCUCUCUAUACUCCAGUCAAGGCCAGAAAGUCUACCCUUUACUCAGCUAAUGGUGUCUCCUCCUUUCUUCUUCUUGCCUGCUAUUAAAUAGAGCUUUAUAUAGUACCCAGACUGUCAGCUCUCUCAGAUGAAUUACUUUUUCUGAAAAUAAAAUAAAAUAAAAUGAUUCAUGGUCUUGACCCUUGGGGCUGGAAAGUAAUGUC